rnacentral:sRNA from 1 species
AAAAAAAAAAACAGAUGCGGAUUUCAAAGGAUAAUAACACAGGACCGCACUUCAAAACUGCCACACUCCAGUUAAGCAGUGGUCCAGUAAAAUUCGCUGGUACAAUAUUAUCUUCUUUUAUAAUUUCUUUUUCUAUUAAUUGUUUCUUCCUUAUAUAUUGGUAAAUUAGUGUAGAGAGAAUUUACGAACAAAACACAAAAAUUCAUUCUCUCUCAUUACACUCUUUUU